UACGAAGGGGGCUAGCGUUGCUCGGAAUCACUGGGCGUAAAGCGCACGUAGGCGGCUUUUUAAGUCAGGGGUGAAAUCCUGGAGCUUAACUCCAGAACUGCCUUUGAUACUGAGGAGCUAGAGUCCGGAAGAGGUGAGUGGAACUGCGAGUGUAGAGGUGAAAUUCGUAGAUAUUCGCAAGAACACCGGUGGCGAAGGCGGGUCUCUGGGCCGAUACUGACGCCGAGGAGCGAAAGCGUGGGGAGCGAACAGG
rnacentral:rRNA from 1 species